CACGGGGGUUGCGAGCGUUGUCCGGAAUUACUAGGCGUAAAGGGCAGGCAGGCGGAUCCAUAAGUUUAUCGUUUAAGGCGUCGGCUUAACCGGCGUAGGGCGGUAGAUACUGUGGAUCUGGAAUGCGGUUGGGGAAGACAGAAUUCCUGGUGUAGCGGUGAAAUGCUUAGAUAUCACACAGAAUAUCGAUUGCGAAGGCAGCUCACAAAGCCAAGAUUGACGCUGAGGCACGAAAGUGUGGGGAUCAAACAGGAUUAGAUACCCU
rnacentral:rRNA from 1 species